GAUGAAGAACGUAGCGAAAUGCGAUAAGUAAUGUGAAUUGUAGAAUUCAGUGAAUCAUCGAAUCUUUGAACGCACCUUGCACCCUUUGGCAUUCCGAAGGGUAUGCUCGUUUGAGUGUCAUUGUACUCUCACACUUCCAAUCUUUGGAUUGGGAGCAGUGGACUUGGGUGUUGCUGCUUACUGUGGCUCACCUCAAAUCGAUUCGUGCACCUCUUGGUUGGACAUAGUACGGCGUGAUAAGUGUCUUCGCCGGCACCUCAGUAGAGGGUGGCUGAUCAGGAGCUCUGUGCUUCAAACCGUCCUCGGACAACAACUGACAACUUGACCUCAAAUCGAGUAGGACUACCCGCUGAACUUAAGCAUAUCAAUAAGCGGAGGA
rnacentral:misc_RNA from 1 species